GUCAGUGAUUGUGUGUCUGUCAGAUUGUGUCAAAUCAGUGAGUGUGUGUGUGUGUCUGUCAGUUGAAGUGUGUGUUAGUCUUUAACAGGAAGGUGUGUGGCCUUGACAGAAAGGGGUGGGGCAAUUUUAAAUUAGGGGGUGCCCGAGUUCUGUCAUGCCUAGGGCAGCACAGGUCCAAAAUACACCACUGCACACACACACCAUACUAAGGAUACCACAUUAGGGAUGGAGCUUUGUUUAGUAGAUUGUUCCCUAUUUUCUCUCCAGAUUAGAGGCAGUGCACCACAACUGGGAUAUCC